UCCGGCCUGAUUGGCCAAACACUCUUGAUCUAAGCAGCUGCAGCAGUGGGAUGGCCUUGAACCCUGCCCACCUGAAUUUGGCCCUGUCUGAGGGAGGCCCCUCUUGUCCACCUCUUAACCUGGGGUAGGGAGCUUCUCCCGAGUAGCAGUAAUGGGGCUGAUUCCAGCUUCUCCCCAGCAAUACCUCUAUGUGGCUGACCUGGCACGGAAGGACAAGCGUGUUCUGCGGAAAAAGUACCAGAUUUACUUCUGGAACAUUGCCACCAUUGCUGUCUUCUAUGCCCUUCCUGUGGUGCAGCUGGUGAUCACCUACCAGACGGUGAGAGGGCGGGGCGGGUUCACCUUUCCCACAGCCUA
rnacentral:sRNA from 1 species